UACGUAGGGACCAAGCGUUGUUCGGAUUUACUGGGCGUAAAGGGCGCGGUAGGCGGCUUAACAAGUCACUUGUGAAAUCUCCGGGCUUAACUCGGAACGGCCAAGUGAAACUGUCAAGCUAGAGUGCAGAAGGGGCAAUCGGAAUUCUUGGUGUAGCGGUGAAAUGCGUAGAUAUCAAGAGGAACACCUGAGGUGAAGACGGGUUGCUGGGCUGACACUGACGCUGAGGCGCGAAAGCCAGGGGAGCAAACGGG
rnacentral:rRNA from 1 species